AGGAUAUUAGUUUAAAAAAAAACACUUAAAUUGCAUUUAAAAAUUAUUUUAUUAGUAAUAUAUCUUA
rnacentral:tRNA from 1 species